UGAAAAGCAAAAAAAUUGAGAGUUUGGUAAUUAGGUUUAUUUCCACCAUGCAACACUUAUGAGAUCAACGUGUAGUCUAUCGAAAGAGUACUCUUUGGUACAUGAGAGCCCCUUUGCUCCAAAAAUCUACCCCCCCUCUCGAGCUCCAAAUGGCCCCCAUUGAGAACCUUUGAUCUAAAGAUUAAUAAAUAAUUUUU